GAUCUGUGCAUGGGGCUGGCCUGUUACCGUUCUCUCCACCUUUAUGUGAGAAGACACUGCCACUGGACAUGUGGGCAUUUGUGCUCAGGUAAAGGGCACAAAUGGCACCCUCUGGAUGACAUUAGAAUAGCAGAACCUAGCCUCUUCCAAUCCCGAGCAUGGCUGACUUCAAAAGGGGAAGAAGGUAGCUACUCCUCGUCCUUCCCAAACUCCUUCCGCAAGAAAAAGGAACAGCGGACAGAUGCUAAGGGGACAGUGGACAGGUGCACACCCUUGUCUCACCUGCUGCUGGGGCUGUGGAAGGCAUGCUCCAUUCUGCCCUCACCAGGCCACAAAGAGAAGUGCAGGUGCCUCAGCUCACUGCCUCCCUGUUUCCAGGACUGGGUCCACCAUUUGCUCCAUACACACCUGAAUCAAGGAAAAGACUUACACAAUUCUAAAAAUCAGAGGCAAAUGGAAGGCAGGGAGUUAUCUAAAGUUACCUGUGGGAAAAAGGACAAAUCUGAGAUUUGAACUCAAUUCUCCUGGCUCUGAAUAUUUGCUUUCCUGACAUUUAAAAGUCACAUUAAAUUUUUAUGAGGCAUUUGGAAAUUUGAACUUGACUAAGUACACUAAAAUUAUUGUUAAUUUGUUUUGGUAUGUUAAUUGUGAGUA
rnacentral:lncRNA from 1 species